UACGUAGGGUGCAAGCGUUGUCCGGAAUUAUUGGGCGUAAAGGGCUCGUAGGCGGUCCAUCGCGUCGGGAGUGAAAAGCUGGGGCUUAACCCCAGUCCUGCUUCCGAUACGGGUGGACUAGAGGUAGGCAGGGGAGAACGGAAUUCCUGGUGUAGCGGUGAAAUGCGCAGAUAUCAGGAGGAACACCUAUUGCGAAGGCAGCUCGCUGGGACGUAACUGACGCUGAGACGCGAAAGCGUGGGGAGCAAACAGG
rnacentral:rRNA from 1 species